rnacentral:lncRNA from 1 species
CGUUUGUAGAUGGAAGGAAGAACUUGUGUGCUUAGACCUGACGCUGGGAGGAGAUGCUGCCACCUAGGUUACUUGUAGGACCCUAUACGGCAACCUCCUUUGCCAGGAACUAUUUAUAAACAUCCUGCAGGAAAAUGAGUCAAGGAAGCUUUUCUUUUGAGCUAUUUACAGCUUUUAGCAAUUGAGUAAAGUAUACUCCUGUGAACAAAAUUUGGAACAUAUUUGUUUCUCUCUAACUGAUUUCUCCAGAAUUUGGAACUAGUGAACCAGGAACCCUCUCUUGGGGUGUGGAUCGAGACCCCUUUCUGGUAACGAGAGCACAGCUUGGUUUUAUACAUUUUAAGGAGACAUGAGACAUCAAUCAACGUAUAUAAGAUGAACAUUUUGAUCUGAAAAGGCCUCUUUAAAUAUACACUUCUCUGUAGUGUAUGCUAGAAAUGGAGUGGCUGGAAUAAAAGUGGCUGAAUCAUCUUCAACUCUGGUAGCUGAGACCAAUGAUGCUGACCUCCCUCAAAAGCUGCAUUUCUGAAUUUCUGAAGGCAAACUGUCUGCCUAUAUUGUACAGCAAAAUAAUUUCCUGUAUUAAAACGUUUUUAUUGCUCUAAAUUUCUAGAUUAAACUCUGCUUAGGUAUUGCUAAGAGGGUAGCCAAGUAUAGAAACUUAAAUUUACUGACAGAAAUCUAGAGAAUGCUUAAUUUUUUUUCCAGCAGUGAAGUAGAAGAGACAGGGAUAUCCCAGAAGGUUAUGCAAAACAUCAAGAGAAGAUGAGAGGGUAAGGUUUAUAGACUGAGUUAUUAGAAAAAUGCACAAUGGGGUUUGGGUUGCAUAAAAACAGGGUCUAUGGGUGUGUAUUUAUAAGUUCACACAUGCACACACAAACACACACAUAUAUGUACACACACAGGCAGCCCUCAACAUUCUCAUGAUUGGCUUUUGUACAUUAUUUUUUAAUUAUUAAUACCUCAAAAUGUGUUUAUAUAGAGAAAUUGAACUUUAGUGCAUCACAAAAGAGAAGAGACUUCAAUUUCUAGUUCAAGAAAUGAAUGAGAAAGGUACUCUGUGAUGUCGUAAGGAUAAGAAAGAUCAAGGGAUCAGGAAAAUGAAGAUUUUAGCUUCAUUCAUCUUAACGAGGUUAACAGACAUGAUUUUCCCACUCUCCUUCAACACUCACAUAUCAAUUUCAUAUUUGUGGAAAGUUUUCACUUACAACACUCAGUAUAUACCACUUAGAAUUAUGAAAGUAUAUCCUGUAGGGCAGAUCCACAUGCAGAAGAAUGAAACUAGACCCCUAUCUCUCACCAUACACAAACAUCAAAUCAGAUGGAUUAAACACUUCAAUCUAAGACCUCUCACUAUGAAAUGACUAUGAGUAAACAUUGUAGAAUAUUCAUCUGGGAAAAAAUUUCUUGCCCCACAAGCACAGGCAACCAAAGUCAAAAUGGACAAAUGGGAUCACAUCAAGUUAAAAAGUUUCUGCACAGCAAAGGAAACUAUCAGUAAAACAUAGAGGCAACUCACAGAACUGGAAAAAAUAGUCAGAGAUGGGAAGAAACAAGAACUUUGACAUGCUUGGUGUUCUUGCCCAAGCUUUGAAGAAGUUUACAGAGUCUAUAUGUCAGAAUACACAUUUCCCACCUUGCCCAACAGUAGAAAAACAUAAGAAGAGAAAAACAUUAAAAAAUGACAAGGAAGUUAAUGGAAGUCAGCAAUGUGAUGGUGUUUGGAGGUGGAGCCUUCAGAAGGUAAUUAAUGCCCUUGUAAGAAGAGGCCAGAGAGCUUGCGCACCUUCUUCCUGCCAUGUGAGGAGCCAAGAAGCCGGCUGUCUGCAACCUGCAAGAGGACCCUCACUAGAAGCUAGCCAUACUGGCAUCCUCAUCUUGGCUUUCCAACUUCCAGAACUGUGAGAAGUAUAUGUUUGUGGUUUAGUCAAUGGUCUAUGGUAAUUUUUUUAUAGCAGUCCCAGCCAAGACAGUGCCUCAUUUACUACAUACCAUUUAUAUUAUUAUAUAGGCUCCUUUCAGAAACCCAUGUUCAAAUAAGAGAUAAGAUACUGAAACACAUAACACCUUCACUAGUUUUUAGUAUACAAAUAUUGAGAAAUAGUUUGUUAUUAACUAUCUCAUCCAAGAAAUGCAGAUUCAUGUUGUUUCUAAUUUUUUAUAUAUAAUUGACAAAAUGAAGAAACUUAACACCAUCCUAGAUUUUAGCUG